UUACUAAGGUGUUUGAGCGCUACAUGUCAUUCACUGAGCAAGCCACUGUUAUUGUUCUUGUGACACAGAUGAGGGACCAAAAGCCAUCAAGAGUAAGUAACGUAAAGGGUCCAAAGUCAUGCAGGCUGGACAGUAGAGAACCCAGGACUCAAACCAUGGCAGUGGGCAUGGGACCCAAGCAGGGCAAGUGACAAUCCUGCCCUAGGAUUUUUUCUUUAAGAUUUUAUUUAUUUAUCUGACAGAAAGAGAGAAAGACCACACAAGCAGGAAGAGGGAGAAGCAAGCUCCCCACUGACCAGGGAGCCUGAUGUGGGGCUUGAUCUCAGGACCCUGGGACCAUGACCUGAGCCAAACAAGGGCAAAUGCUUCAAGACUGAGGCCCGCAGACAUCACUUGUGCUGAUAUUUUACCUCUUACAACUGUUUCUCCACUCUUGGGUUACGUAAGAGCCAGGAACUCAAUAGCUACUGGUGACCAAGAUUCCAGCCUUAAGAAGAGAGCAACAGUGGGGAAAGAACAGAUACGGGGGACAGAGGAGGUUUUGAAGGGCACAGGCCUUGCAAGCGGAACAACGGUUUAGGGGCCUCUGGCGGACGGGAUCAGAAGACAGAGAAGCCCACCGGGGCGUGCCGGGGACCGCAAGCGCGCAUGGCUGCUGGAAGAAAGCGACCUCGGCGCGUGGGGCCCCGCUGGAGGGGGGUGCGGUCUGCUCCGUCUGCUCCCUGUGUGGAGUGGAGGGAGCUGGAGAGCCCGCGGGGCCAGGGAAGGGGCCUGUCGCCGAGAGAGGUCUCAGCCCCCCUUGUCGCCUUCCUGGGUGACAGGGCAGCGCCGGCCCGUUCUGCCCCUGCACCUUCCCACCUGCCCACCCCUGCCCUCCAGCCUCAAGGGAAGCGCUUCUAGGGGUGAACUUCACUCUUCAUUCUUUUCGUUCUGCGUGAGAUUCCGCUGUAGGAAAAUACUGCGUUUGGGGACCCCUGGGGGGCUCGGUCUGCUAAGCGUCCCACUCUGGUUCCGGCUCAGGUUGCGAUCUCAGGGGGGUCGUGAGAUCGAGCCCGGCAUCAGGUUCUGUCCUGAGGGUGGAGCCUGCUUGGGAUUCUCCCUCUCUCCCCCUGCCUCUUCCCCCCCACCAAAAUAAAUAAAGUUACUUAAAAAAAAAAAAAA